rnacentral:sRNA from 1 species
AAAUCAAUAAAUUCGUUUCGCAGACGGCGGGAUGUCACAGCUUUCAGUGAGUUAACCAGUACCGAAAGCUGCACUGUUGGUGGGUAUUCGAUCAGCAUGUGGACAUGA